AGUGAACGCUGGCGGCAGGCCUAACACAUGCAAGUCGAGCGGCAGCGCGGGGGCAACCCUGGCGGCGAGCGGCGGACGGGUGAGGAAUACAUCGGAAUCUACCUUCUUGUGGGGGAUAACGUAGGGAAACUUACGCUAAUACCGCAUGAGACCUGAGGGUGAAAGCAGGGGACCGCAAGGCCUUGCGCGAGAAGAUGAGCCGAUGUCCGAUUAGCUAGUUGGUGAGGUAAAGGCUCACCAAGGCGACGAUCGGUAGCUGGUCUGAGAGGAUGAUCAGCCACACUGGAACUGGGACACGGUCCAGACUCCUACGGGAGGCAGCAGUGGGGAAUAUUGGACAAUGGGCGCAAGCCUGAUCCAGCCAUGCCGCGUGUGUGAAGAAGGCCUUCGGGUUGUAAAGCACUUUUGUUCGGGAAGAAAAGCUUCGGGCUAAUACCCCGGGGUCCUGACGGUACCGAAAGAAUAAGCACCGGCUAACUUCGUGCCAGCCGCCGCGGUAACAC
rnacentral:rRNA from 1 species